rnacentral:rRNA from 1 species
GACGAACGCUGGCGGCGUGCUUAACACAUGCAAGUCGAACGGAAAGGCCUCUUUCGGGGGGUACUCGAGUGGCGAACGGGUGAGUAACACGUGAGUAACCUGCCCUUGACUUUGGGAUAACUUCAGGAAACUGGGGCUAAUACCGGAUAGGAGCUCCUGCUGCAUGGUGGGGGUUGGAAAGUUUCGGCGGUUGGGGAUGGACUCGCGGCUUAUCAGCUUGUUGGUGGGGUAGUGGCUUACCAAGGCUUUGACGGGUAGCCGGCCUGAGAGGGUGACCGGCCACAUUGGGACUGAGAUACGGCCCAGACUCCUACGGGAGGCAGCAGUGGGGAAUAUUGCACAAUGGGUGGAAGCCUGAUGCAGCAACGCCGUGGGCGGGAGGACGGCCUUCGGGUUGUAAACCGCUUUCGCUCACGACGAAGCUUUGUGUGACGGUAGUGGGUAAAGAAGCACCGGCUAACUACGUG